GUAUCAUGGGGGCGGAGCUCCCCCUCCCCCUUGCUAUUCUCGUGAUAGAGCUCUCCUCACUUCUCUCUCUGUCUCUCCUGCCACCACGUGAAGAAGGUGCUUGUUUCCCCUUUGCCUUCCGCCGUGAUUGUAAGUUUCCUGAGGUCUCCCAGUCAUACUGCUGGUUAAGCCUGCGGAACGGAUAUGGGACUUCCUUGUGGACAUAAAAUGGCUGCUGCAGCUCCAGGCCACACAUGCACCUUCCAGGUAGAAAGAACUCACUAGGAAAGGUCACAUUCUGAGGUUCCAGUGGACAUGAAUUUGGAGGCGACCCUAUUCAACUCAGUAUAGCCAGUCUUUUAAAUUUACCAUUCUAAUAGGAGAGGAAAAUGAGACCCACAGAAGUUCAAGUCACCAGGCCAGUUAUUGUUGGGCUAGCACUUGAAGCCAGGUCUGCCUGAAUUCAGGGCCUCAGCUCUUUCCCACGCAUUUUUAGCCCAGAACCAAGCUGUUCAUAAAAGGUGUGCCUGCAAAUAGGAAACUAGAGAGCAUGGGCCCUCAGAGAGAGCUCUGAACCCCAUCUUCGACCUCGAACCUGUCCUUGGACUGAACCUGUCUUUAGGAGGUCUGCCCAUACGGAUGAAUCUGGAGCAGAGGCCGGGCUCAGCAGGAGAGCUUCACAAAACUGAGAUUCGAUGAAGCAGAGCCCCGUUUUAAGGGCUGCACCAAUCCACCCGGAGCCUUCCGUGUUCUCUCUCUCUCCAACAGCCUCCCUAUGAGGAGCAACUGUAGGGACCGAGAGACAAUAGCAGGCUGGGCCAUGGGGAGGGAUUUUUUUCCCGGGAUCUCAGUGGAGAUGGGGAGGUAGAGUGAGGGAAGGAAGCAGCCAGGCAGAGAGGCGCGGGGCUUUAUUAAUUAAUUGAGGGAGAGACGUAAUGGAGGGUGGAAUCCACAGAGGGAAAGCGGGCUCCACCUCGAGUUUAUGGGUCAUUUUUCUGGUGGCAGUUCAGUUGCCCCAGAGAGGAUAGCACCUCGGUCUGUCGCCUCCUGACAAGCACUAGGGGCCCUCAAGGCAAGUGGGAUGUACCCCCCUCCUGGCCUGCAAUAGAAAGAACUCCCUUCCCGGAUUCCAGGCGCGCUGGCUUUGGCCACGUGGAAUGGUCAUGGUGGGCUGCACUGGGAACCACAUUGCAGGUUCGAAUCCCAACUGCACUGUGUAGGAGCUGCGUGACCUUGAGUGAAUUGGUUGACAUUUCUGUGCCUCAAUCACCUCCCCUGUGAAGUGGGAACAACAGUACCUUCCUCGUAGAGUUGGGACGAGGAUUAAAUGCUUGAAAUGACGCCAGUCCCACAGUAAAGCUUUCGGCAAAGGAUGGGAUUAUUGGACCUGGGAAGGAGAAGACAGGUGCCUCAGUUUACCACGGAUUCCACAUGUGACCCAAAUGCCAGCAUGGGGGAAAGGAGACGUCUCCUUACCCCUUAGGCCUGGACAGUGCUGCUGACAGCCAUCGUGUGCUGCGGAGGAAGAUUGCCUGAGAAUGGAGCCAUUCAGGAGGAAAUGGGGCAGAGAAAUAAAGAGAAAUCAAAUCCCAUCUUUUCAGUCCCGCUUCCCUCACUCCCUCAUCCAUUCUUCCUAGCAGACUAUUCAGUUGUGCUUUUUAAGAUUUAUUCUGUUUUUGUUUUUCACCUAAGACGGUUUAGCUUGUUUGUUUUUCUCUUGUUUGCAACCACUGUGUUCUAGCGGUUAUUACGAAUUUAAUAGACUUUAUACAAGAUUUUGUAAAGGGCAGAAAACUCAAGAUUGGACAGUGACUUUCUCCUAGGACACUAUCUUGCCGGUGCCCUCACCUCAGUCUCCACCCUGGACCUCCGAUUUUGUCCCUGAAACUUCAAAUUCUUUUCCUUCAAUUAUACAAUGCAGCAGCUCUCCUUUCAGUAGUGCUACUUUGUACCCUACCCUGGGGAAGAGGUAGCUCACCUUCGAACCUGAGCUCUUGGCAAGGUCUUUUUCCAGAUCUAAGGCAGUUCCCUUCCUAAGGGAGAGUCAGAUGCCACUGAGGAGAGAGAAAGGUAUUUGGAGGGAAUGUUAUGGCAGACACUGUGGUUGCUCACUAAUGUAACAUCCCUUCUCUUCUUCCUUGCUGUAAGGACUCUAAUCUUGUUCCGGGAUUUAAGGAAGGUGGGUUCAGCCUCUGGCUUAGAGGAUGGGCAUGUAACCCAGUCUGACCAGCAAGGUAUAAAGGUCAAUUUAUGGGCAGUCUGGGAAAGUUUUUCUUCCCUGAUAAGAGGAAAACAUAAGGGGAUCUCUCUGCUCUAAGCCUCCAGUUACUUCCUUCUCCAAAAGCAGUUAUGUGAGGAUGUGAUGCCUGGAGCUGUGGAAGCCAUUUUGUGACCAUGAGGAGAAAGCCAAGAGAAUAACAGAGACACUAUCCCAAUGUCCUGAGUAUUGUUCAGCUAUGAAACUAACCCUGGAAACUCCUUGGGCCACAUAGUAGAUAUUUUAAGUUUUGCCAGCCAUAUGUCUCUGUCAUGACUACUAAACUCUUCAUUUAUAUCGUGACAGCAGCCUUUGACAAUAUGUUAACAUAUGGAUGUGACUAUGUUCUGAGAAAACUUCGUUUUCAAAAACGGGCUAAGGGCCAGAUUUGCCCUGUGUGCCACAGUUUGGCACAACCUGUAUUUUUGGCCAUAUUAGCUGGAUUUGCAGUUACUUGCACUCAAAGCAUUUCUAACAGAGCAUGUAUGGGCUGCCCUAGAGGGCAGUCUCUCACCCCAAACACAGCUGUGCUCACAGGCUCAAUUGCCACUUGCUGGAAGCAACAGCUUAUUUUCUUCUGUCUACCAACAUUCAUUCACUCAACAAAUGUCUAUUGAGUGCCUACUCUGUGUCAGGAACUGUUCUGAUGCUGGGGCUAAAAUAGGAGAUGUUGAACCCUGUCCUUGGGGAGUUCUCUUUAUAUAACAUUGGGAAUCAAGAAAGCCUUCCUAGAGGAGGUGAUAAUUAAGUUAGCUCUGAAGGGUGAAUAGGAGUUAGGAAGAUAAAGGGCAAAACAUGUGGGCCUGGGCGGGUAGGAGGGCAUUCCAGGCAAAAGUAAGAGGGGACAUGGCGCAUAUGUGAGUAGAAAAGGGAAAAUGAGGGAAAGAGUGGAGGAGAGUGAGGCCAGAGAGGUUAAAUGAGACCAGAUCACAUGUGAGCUGGUAGGUCAUUGGUUUUCACACUGAGUGAGAUGGGGCAAUUGAUUGGAGGGCUUUGAACAGAGGGGGACAUCAACCACUGACAGCUGCCUGGGCUAGGGUGAUGAAGAGGUCAUGAACAGGAGAUGGCCUUGAGAGAUUCCAAGGGGUAAAAUAGGACUUGAGGAUAAAGCAGAUGAGGGAAGUGUCUAGGAUGACAUGCAGGGUUCUGAUUCUUAACUAUUUUGUUGUAUCUCUAAAGAAAUAGACAUAGAGCAGAGGAGAAUUCAGAAAGUUUUUUUUGUUUGUUUUUGAGACAGAGUCUCACUCUGUCACCCAGGCUGGAGUGCAGUGGCGUGAUCUCGGCUCGCUGCAACCUCCACCUUCCAGGUUUAUGUGAUUCUCCUGCCUCAGCUUCCUGAGUAUCUGGGACUAUAGGCACCCGCCACCACGCCUGGCUAAUUUUUGUAUUUUGAGUAGAGACGGGCUUUCACCUGGUCUCAAACUCCUGACCUCAGGUGAUCUGCCCACCUUGGUUUCUCAAAGUGCUGGGAUUACAGGCAUGAGCCACUGUGCCCAGCCCAGAAAGUAUUUUUGAGGCCUUUGUGCAGUGGCUUUAUCAGAAAGAAAGGAGCAAAAAAUAGACAGGAGCUUGGGCUCCUACCUCAUAAUCAAGUUUUGCCUUGCAUUUGUCCCAGAAAAUUCACUGGAUUAAUUGGACUUCAGCACAAUUGUCUUAAUUUAUAGCAUUAAGUAAAAUCUAUAUAUGUCAAGAUGCAAAGUGCAGGAAUGUAAUGGGGACUGUCACAGAGGCUGCUACAUGUGCAGUAUUCUUUCCUAACUGCCUAAGAGGUGUUUGCCUGAAGAAUGGGGGAGGACAUGGUCUAAGAGCUAUGCAGGAACUAGGAAGGGACCUGGGCCUCGACCAAAAUUACAUGAGAACACCAUGUGUGCCAGGCAGUCCCUGAGUCCAGGGACUAUUUUACUAACGACUAACACUCUACUAAUCUAUUUUAAAAUUUCAUUUUAAUGGUUAUCAAAAUACUGCAGAUACAUUGAUUUUUUAAAAAAAUAGUCAAACAGUCCUUAUAUUUGCUAUGGAUUGCACAUGGCUGCAAGUAACAGAAAACCCGAUUGCUGGUAACAUAAACUAUAAGAAUUGAUUUUAAUAUUUUUGGUGUUAUUCACAACCAGAGGUCCAGACGUGAGCAGUUUGUUAAGUGGCUCAACAGCAUCAGGUCAGAUGUUUUUCCAUUUUCUUGGCCUUUCCCUCAUGAUCACAAAAUGGCUGCUGCAGCUCCUUAAGUCAUCAAUCACAUCUGUGUUCCAGGCAGAAGGAAGGUAGCAAAGACUUUCCCAGAAAUCCCCAGCAGGUUUCUGAUUGUGGUAUUGGCAAGAGCUGUGUCUUAAUUACCCCCAGCUGCAAGGGAGUUUAAGCUGGUGAGAGUUUUUCUUUUUUUUAGCUUUUCAGCCUAUAUAGUAGAAAGUCAAGAUAAAGGAGGUUGGGAUGGGUGUCAAGUGGUCAGUAUCCACCAUGGUCCCCGUUCCCUGUCCCACCUCUCCUCAUCCUGAGUUCUUACUCUCCUGAAGUAAUUCUCUUCCUCCAUUUUUCUAAAUAAAAUGUUUAUUCUGUAA